UACGAAGGGGGGCUAGCGUUGCUCGGAAUUACUGGGCGUAAAGCGUGCGCAGGCGGUUCGUUGUGUCGGCGGUGAAAGCCCCGGGCUUAACCUGGGAAUGGCCGUUGAAACUGGCGAACUGGAGUGUGGCAGAGGGGGGUGGAAUUCCGCGUGUAGCAGUGAAAUGCGUAGAGAUGCGGAGGAACACCGAUGGCGAAGGCAGCCCCCUGGGCUAACACUGACGCCUCAGGCACGAAAGCUGGGGAGCAAACAGGG
rnacentral:rRNA from 1 species